rnacentral:rRNA from 1 species
AUGUUGGAAAGAAGACCUGCUGAAUUUAAGCAUAUAAUUAAGCAGAGGAAAAGAAACCAACCGGGAUUCCCUCAGUAGCGGCGAGCGAAGCGGGAAGAGCUCAUCAUGAAAAUCU